GACGAACGCUGGCGGCGUGCCUAAUACAUGCAAGUCGAGCGAACAUUUGAGAGCUUGCUCUCAAAUGUUAGCGGCGGACGGGUGAGUAACACGUGGGCAACCUGCCUAUAAGACUGGGAUAACUUCGGGAAACCGGAGCUAAUACCGGAUAAUUCACAUCUACUCAUGUAGAUGUGCUGAAAGAUGGUUUACGCUGUCACUUAUAGAUGGGCCCGCGGCGCAUUAGCUAGUUGGUGAGGUAACGGCUCACCAAGGCCACGAUGCGUAGCCGACCU
rnacentral:rRNA from 1 species